GGUGCACAUCAAGAAUAAAGCAAAUAGAGUUGCUGAAUUUGUAGGAUGUAAACAAAAUGAUAAACAUGGUAACAAUUGAGGAAGUUAGCAUUUGGUUAAUUUUGAAAUCAUGG